rnacentral:scRNA from 1 species
ACUAUGCGCUCCACUUUGGCCCUGAUGUUGGCCGU